GAGCCUAGGCCUCUUGCCCAGAUACUGAGGAGGUGGAGACCCUGGGAGAUGGUGCUCUAUGGGGAACCGUCAGCCUCGGGGUGCUGGGCGUGCUGGAGCUCGGCGCCAUUCAAGCCGGGCUGGAGGGGCAUGGAGGCGCUCGAGCUGGGAGGGGAGAGCGCUUGAAGCAUCAAGUUGUCAUCACGUCUGUCUGAUGAGAGUAUGGCCAGCGCUGGCCACUGUCCCACAGCGGUUGUCAUGGGGGAACACAGCCCAAACACCAUGACAUGUUCGUGUGGAGGUUGGGAUGUUCCAAAAGGGUCAUUGUCAGGGAUGAGGGAAAAGGGAAGCUCCAGUGAGAGAAAUGAGCCCCCAAGUGACCAGGGACUUUGGGCCCAAUGGCCAGGCCAUGCUGGCAGGUCUGGCACUACCCUAGCUGGCUCUCGGCAGGGCAGUGCAGGGGACUGCUGGGUGGUUUUGAGGGACAGUCAUGAGGGCCUGGGGAUGCCUGUCCACAAAGACAGUGAAGGAGGUGUCUGAGACCUUGAGAUUUAAAAGAAAGAGGGAGGUGCCUGGGAAGCCAGCUCACAGGAGAGUAAGCAAGUUUGUAACAAAACAUUCGCACCAAGAAAGAAGUGGGCAACAUGUUUAUUUGCCUGUUGUGCUGGAGCGAGGGGAGGGGCAGGGAAGGGCUGGCCCCACCGCAGGUCUCACACAUGCCGCUCAGCCAGAGCAGCAGCGGGGUGCCUGCCGAGUGGGCGCUCAGGACCCAGAACACCGCCUCCGGCCCUCCCCCAACAGACGCCUGGGAGAUCUGGCUGGAGACACUGCAGCCUCGCCUUGUCCCCCUUCAGGGCUACAUACGUGUUCUCUGGUCCCCACAAGAACUAGAGUGUUGGUGAUGAGCCACAGCCUGUGUGUGACCUCCCUCCUGCUCCUCAGACCCUCUUCUCAACACUUCCUUCAACUCUUAACACACAACAGGUGCCGUGACCUGUCAGGGCCGGCAGCAGGAACCAGUGAGGCGGCUCAGGUGGGCCAGGCCCGAGAGGAACGGCAACUGCAGGUGCCAGCGCCUAACCGGUCCUCUCUCUCAGCACCAGCAAACUAUUCUACUGGUUAGUGUUAGCGACCUAUUUAAGCUGAGGCAUGACGCACCUUAGGAGCCGAGACCUCUGCUCUCUAGAGGACCAAGAGGUACCUGAGCGACACAGGCGCUUCGGUGUGUGACAGCUUGUGUGGUGCUCCGAGCCCAGCAGGGCCUCACCAGCCCCUGAGAGCUUUUCGGGCAGAGUGUCCUUACCACCGUGCCGACUGCCUCUCGGAAGGCGUCUUCUCUCCUGCACGGCUAGAGCUGCAAGGAAAGGGACAGACCCCGCUUUGGUAAAAGGACAGGGAAGGCCAUAAGCAAAGACAGGCUUGUAGUUUAUUUUGUAUUUUUUUAAAUAAAUACACUUUACAUUAAAGAAAAAGGCCUUUGAUUUGUAAUUUCCACAUUGGGGAGAAAGGAAAGAGGAAAAAAAGAUUUUGAAAAACUGAAGGACAAAGAAAACUAGAGGGAGUGAACUCAUAUCCUAAGUUCCCUCAACUCCACGAACCAGCAUCCACACCGCCUGCUGCCCAGCCCAGAGCCGGUGAGUCAGCCUUCCUCCCACCCCUGGCCCAGAGGAGAGCAAGCCAGCCUGACAGCUUGUGAGGCAACAAAACAGGUUCUCGCCUGCCAAGAAUCUUCCACGUGGUGAUGCUCCUCACUCAUUCAGAGAUAAGAUGAUGUCAUCUUCCAGGUCAGAGUUGUCAGAGCUGUCGGCUGCAAGGAAGAAAACUGAGGUGGAUAAAGUCAAGAAGAGCAUGGCCGUGAUUCGAGAAAGUCCUGAGAAGCAGCCAGAGAGGUGGCCGGGAACCAGUGUUCCUGGUCGGAAAGGCACAGCGUGGCCUGUUGCAAACGGGCGGGAAGCUCAGAACUAGCAGCUCGUCACUCGGAGGAAGUGCAGCGGGCAGGGCAGGCCUCCCCAGAGCCAAGCUCGUGUCCCAGGUGCCCCUGCUAUGGCCACCGCUGCCAGGCCAGCUGCCGGAACCUGCCCUCCCAGCGCACACCUGCGCCUGGCCCGGGACUAAAGCUACUGGAGGAGGAUCACGGCCCAGCCCUGAAGCACCAUGGAGAACAUGGAAGCUGGUAAACAGCAGCUGGACAGACAGAAGGCCCUCUCUCCCAGCCCCACAGAGGACGGUGAGAAAGACAGUCUUCCCUCAGCCAGCUGCCUUCAACCUUGAGGACGAGAAGCAUGUAUGAGAUCGCUCUCUCCUGCUCCUGAUUAUAAAAAACGAAACAUCCACUGUAAAGACACUGGCAUCUGUUGGGCCUAGGCCAGCACAAUACGAUUCCCAUGGUGAUGUAACGUCCUGGGUCCGUGCCCUUCCACGGCAGCUACACCAGGCUCCUGCGCACGUGCAGCGUGGACAUGAAUGAGGAACUGAGUUUUAAAAACUGCAUCACAGUGUCAGUGGUCCCGUGUGGCUAGUGGCUGUGCUGGGUGUAAGGCCCUGGCUGUGGGAAAACUGGCCGGGUUAGCUGCACGGAAACGGUGGCUGUCGCAGGGAUUACGCUGUCAGACAGGGACACCUCAGAGAUGCUGCCUCCACCCCCCUCCCAUCACCUCUGUGAACACUUGGGAGCUGCAGGGCUUGGCAGACCCUGAGAACCAUCAACUGGUUCCUCAAGACGCCUUAGCAUGUAGUCAGGGACAGUCUGACUUCAGAAACCUUCCUAGUGGGAAACAGCUGGAAAUAGGCAAGUUUUUCUUUCUAAUUCGGAAUGAAGAGGGGGGAGGGAGAUAAAAACAGAGAAACCUGUGCCCCCCGGUCUUUCAGGAAUAGCGGACAGGAAAGGAAAGGCUCCCCACAAGAGGCGUCUGCUGCUUUAGGAAGGAGCGAGCAGUCCAGCAGGUGCCAGCGGGCCCUGGGGCAGAACUGUGUUCAGGCUUCUGUUCUGAGGCUCACCCUCUAGGCAGCCAGGACCAUGACCCCGUGUGUCCGGCUGCUUUCACACAACAGAAGAGUUGAGAAGCUGCAGCAGAGACCAUGUGGCCCACAAAGUGAAACAUUUACUAUCCCGCCUUUACAGAAAUCAUUUGCCAGCCUCCGUUUUAAAGAUGAGAGAGAACAGCUGUUUGGUUACAUAGUCUGAUGGGAGAGCAGAGGGUCAGAGGUGGGAAAACUGCUUUUCCUCAGGGGCCAGAGGGGGGAUGGACAGUUAAGGGACAGAGAACUCCUGGUGUGGCUUCCACACUGGGCGGGGCUGGCACAGGGAAGGCAUCUUCCCCUGGAGGCCCAGGCUCAGCCCCAUGGUCGUCCUGGACUUACUGUCCCCCAGGAUCAGUUCCACUUCCUCGUCUGCAUCAGAGUCUUCAUCCUCCCCGUCCUCUCCCUCCUCCAGAAGGUUGGCCAGCUCCUCGUCAGAGGGAGAGAAGUCAUUGUCCCCAUCCUCCCCUGCGUUCUCGUUGUUGUCAUCCUCCUCCAACUCCGCCUCCAGCAAUUGGUCAGUGUCAAGGUCAUCAAGAUCAUCAGUGUCAUCAUCGUCUUCAUCAUCAUCUUCUUCCUCCUGCUCCUCCUCCUCCUGGUAAGAGAGCAUUAGGUCCAUUAGGAGGAAACAGGCCUGGCCAGGGAGUUUGCCCCACUUCCCUAAGGACGGGAGGGAACUGCCAGUGGAGAGAGCGGUCACCUCGGUUAGCACAGACUUCAGGGCCAGCAGACUCAUGGUGAGGCAGCCACCAGCAUGUACGUGGCCCCCAAGACACCAGACGAGGAUGGCUACUUACUCCACGAAGGCACUACCGGUCAUGCAGCUCUAUCCCAAGAAACAGGAAACUCGCUUUACAGAGGCCUCUGCCACUGACAGUGUGGGCUCCUGGCUAGUACCCCCAAAGGGGCUGGCUCUUCUCGGUCCUGCACCAACCAAACCAAGUGAAAUCCGAGGCGGCACUGGAACAAAAGCUUCAACCCCUGGAUCUACCUGUUCUUCUACCUAACAACACAGGAAGAACACAGCUGCUGAGCCAUCAGCUCCUCAGCCCUUCACGUUCUUGCCAAGGACGCGGGCAGGCCUGGAACAGUGCUAUCUAAGCAGCGCCUGAACCAAACAAAGCAGACAUUCCCCGUCCAGCCACUCACAGAUAACCCAUGUUCUGUGCUAGAGAAACUCCUCACUUGCAUUCUGCCAGAUUUCGACUUUGCACUAGGAUCCAGUUUCCCUUCAAGCAAAAGAGGACACAGCGCCUCUUAGCCUCUUAGCUUUGACAGAGGCGACAGGUGUUUCCAAGUAAAUGCCAUUAACACUCAGGCACUUAUCCUCCUGCUCAAAUAUCAACAGUCAGCUUGGCCGGCAGGAAAAAGAUUCUACUUCCUGCAAUAAUAAAAUAUAAAAUCCAUUUACUCCAUCAGACAGCUCACCGCAUUCUCCCUCCUCCUGCCAUCUCCAGACUCUUCAGCUCCCUGCGACCUUAUCCCUUCCAGAGGCUCCAUGACGCUGCCCAUCCGCCAGAAUUACAGCAAAGCAGUGACUGCUCACUGACCAUCUAAUACCAACUUCAUAGAAUCCCAAUUUCUUGUUCAGUGAGGUGACUUAAUUAAGUCGGUGGCUCUGCUCAGGUGUAAGCAUCAGAAUCACCUGGGAAACGUUUUCCAAAACACACAUGCCUAAACCACACUCAGGGUCCACAGCGCCAGUCCUUACAAAUGAAGCUCACACAGGCGGAGUUGGAAAGGCUCCCCAGGAAUGGUGAAAUGCCCCUAAUGAAGAGCCAGAAGCACAAGAUGACCUCUGAGUUGUAAAAAUUCUACUUUUCUUAAUAAUAGGUACCCUACCCACAGACCCCCCCGCCCCCAAUGACAGGACCUAAAACGUGAAUCCAGGUAUUACCACGGACUUUCUCUGCUACAUCGAGCUGUCCUGUUCUCUAGGACUUAACGUCAUCUUUUAAAUCAAAAUUCUUCUUGAAUAUAUAUCUAUUCAAAAGAAACAGCUUUUAGCCUAUAUUCCCUUCAAAAAUAUAACCAAUCCCUUAGAAAAAUCAACGUCUGGUCAUACUUUAAGACGUGAAUCUAAAAAUGAGAAUAGCAGAAUAACUUCUAAAAAUGUAACUCAAACCCAAGCCUACGUUCUUAAUUAUUUCAACAUGUCAUAUUUUGUAAAACUUAAACUCCUGCUUUUCCUCCUUUUGACAUUUGUCCUGGUGUUAAUAACUGUCCUUAAAAGCUACAAGUUCAUUUCAGUUGUAAAUGCUUGUGUUUUCUCACUGACAGAAUCUAACGUACAUUUUAAACUUUUUAAAAGGAAAAAAAAGGCAGCCUUUCAGGUGCCCCUGGCCAGGCUUACAGCAGGAGUGUGACCCACGAACACGCCCCACCGCUCCUGGCAGUAGGAGCGCUCAGGAAGCACAGCAUGCAGUGGUCCCGGGUUCCAAAAUGGAUGGAGAAAGAGAGUAUUAGCCCCUUUUUAAUAUAAAAUUAAGAUUAUAAUUAGUUGAAAAGUAUUGGCUUUUCAAAAUCUAGGAACAAUGAUCAGCUACUAAUCUUUGAUUUUGUAAUUUUCCUAAAAGCCAACAUCAAAGUUGGAUUGAAUUGAUUUUAAAAAACACAAAUACCAAAAUUCCAGUGGAUAACAGGAGCUUUGAUAAGUGGCUGGCUUAUCUCUGCUCUAUCAAAUGCCUGAAGGCCAGCAGCCUAGCAACCGUAUGAACCAAAGACUAUAGCUAUCAAAUUUAUACAGGCAUUUGUGCUGGGCCAUUUUAUCAGAUGGCAGCUGACCAGUCAGGCUUCUGAGUUUACUUUGCUGAGGUGAAAAGGCAAAUUCAAAGGUGCUCCUCACAGGUGCCUGCACCCCUAAGCGAUUUAAGUCACCUGGGACACCUGAGAAGACCUGCCAGUGAUACCCAGACUAGGACAAAACUUUAAAUAGCAAAUGGCUCAUAUGAAAAUUAAGACUCCCGUUUUAAGAUCAGGUGAAGCGCACACAGGAAAGGGGAGAAGUGGUGAGGAGAAGGUGCUGGAGAGAAUAAAUGCAGCAAAACAACUGCGUGAUUCUAGGAGGGCAUGUGAGUCAACAGAAUUAAGAAAACUUGCUUAAAUAGACAUGGUCUUGCCCAACUGGCGUGGCUCAGUGGUUGAGUGUCAACCUAUGAACCAGGAGGUCACAGUUCAAUUCCCAGUCAGAGCACAAGCCUGGAUUGCAGCUCGAUCCCCAGUAGGGGUGCAGGAGGCAGCCAAUCAAUGAUUCUCUCAUCACUGAUAUUUAUCUCCCUCUCCCUCCCCCUAUCCCACUAAAACUUCUCUAAAUCAAAACACCAAGGACUUAAGGGUGAAAUCUGUUUUCAAAUGAUGUCCUUCCUGUGAAAUGGACCUGGUAGCAGUAGGUAGGAAAUGUGCCCGGACCCUGUGCGACACAGAAGCAAUGCUAACUCACCCCACUGCUCGCCUACCCCCAGCCUAGUCUCCACGCUGGAAUGCUCGCAGGCUCCUCCAGACUGGGCCUAAGGCCACUCGUUAGGGCCCUCUGGAGCCUGCUGCUCUUGACCCUCACUGUCCAUGCCCAGGACGCUUUCUUUUCCUUCCUGCCUCAGUCACCAGUGGGCAGCGUUUACCAGAGUAGGGGCAGGCUGGAGGAGAGCACUGGCCACCAGGAAGGUGAGCUUCUUAGUGUCCUGCAGUGGCCCCUCUCCCCACCCAGAGCACCUCUGCCCUUAAAGAGACGACAAGCACCACCACAGCGGAAGAAGGAAAACAAAGGGAACCCAAAAUCUGGAAAGAAGACCUUUACCAGCCUUACUAUCUACAAGAAAGCAAAGCCCUGUCAUUUACUUUAAACAGGAAAGAUCUGCCGAAAGUCUUUGGAACUGACACUCUGCAGGCAAGCCCCUGGCACAUGACCAUAAACUAACCCCCUCAGAAAGGAAAAGCUCACAUUCCCUGGGGCAUCCUACCCACUCAGAUUUCAUAAAUGUUUAAUUUCUCAGAAGCACCGAAGUCUUCUCUGUACCUAAAAGCUCUCCUGUUAUUCUGAAAGUAGACUGCACCACAGAACUGACGUCGGGAAGUCAGCCAGGGCACUGGUCCUAACUUCCGGUGGCAUGCACAGGACCAUCGGGUGCUGGUUAAUGUUCUGUAAUAAAAUCUUCCUUCUGACUUUCAGGGAUCAAGGGCACAUGCCAGGCCUUCGGAAUAUGCCAACAAGUAGCAAAGGCUGUUCUUUAAAACCCCUGUAGCGAAAAGCAGAAGAGCAUGGCCUCUCUAAACAUUAUGAGAAAGAAACUCAAAAACACUGACCUGGUCCUCCUCCUCGUCCUCGUCCUCUGCCAGGCGCUGCCUGCCCACUUCAUACAGCCUGCACACUGUGUCCAUGUUGAGAGCAUCCAUGCUGCUUUGGUUCUGAAACAGAGCACCCAGUUCACAGGGAGUUUUCAGAAAGCCUGCCACACCCCACACCUCGGCUCUGCCUGGCACCCGUGCACCCUGACCCCACAGCUAUCAAAGGCCCCAACACCCCAAAUUCUUGAACUGACUCUAAAAAUGUGAUACCUAGAACACAGAGAAGGAAUGACAAAUAGGACAAGAAGGCUGGGCUAGUGAGGAAUAUAAACACGAGAGACCACCAUGCUUGGAACAAACCUGUCUGGCUCUGGUGAGAGGCAGACACCUCUAAAAAAGUGUGACAUGAAUCCAAGACAGUAGGAGACAGGACUCUCCACGCUGUUUUAUAUUAGCAUUUUCUUAUUCCUCUUAUACUGCAGAUCUCCCAAACCCCAGCAAAUGAGGUUAUCAAUAACCUCCCCUCAGGAAUGCAGCCACUUUAUAACAUAGCUCACUUCGAUCAACAUUCCUGUAGUGCAGUGACCCUAAACAUCCCAACCAAAGAGCAGGCUUCUGAAGCGCCUUUACCUCGAUGACAGCCAGGUAGCAGUCCUUGGUGUCUGUGCACAGGUCGAAGAUGUUCCGCUUCACGUCGAUGGUUGCUGGAAAACAACGUGACAAGGCUCGGGACUGGACUAUUGCUGUGACUUUAAAAUCCGCUUUUCCUCUCAAGGAAUUCAAGGCGAUUGGUCACAAAUAUUUCCAUAACUCCUCUGCUUUUCAAUGAAAAUUACAUCAUCAAAAUAUAACAAAAAAUCAAGGUCUGCCCCUUCACGCUUACCUAUAGGUUUGUAGUCAGUUGCGUUAAAUGUUCGGAAGGAUGAUCCAAAAGGGCUUUUCAUCCUUUCUUCCAUUAAGUCAUCUUCAUCGUCUGCCUGCAGCAUAGCUGGUGGGGAGGAAAGGGGGAAAGAGCAGGGGAGGGCAACACUAUUAGAAUCAAAACAUCCCCUAUUCACAGGUGUCCUCCUUGUAAAUCCCAGCGAACAGCAAACAAUAUCCUUAACCUUUCGUCUAGCUCCCAACAAGUGGUAACAGGGUGAAGGUGGACAACAUCACAAGACAACAGAUGCAAAGCUUUUUCUUUAAGUUCAUGAUACACAUGGGAAAUCACUGCAUGAAAUUUCUGUCUAUACAAGAUUUACUUAUCUUCAAAGCCAGUGGCCUCUUACCCUAAAUCAAUAUAUUUUUCAUCUUCUU